ACAAAUGCAAGAUAUAUCAAACAUCAUUUAGCAAAUAAUAUUUGCAAGAAACUGUAUAAGCAACAUCAGUCGUGGAUACGACUGUGCCUCUAUAUAAACACCACAAACUAAAGGUGCUCUUUGCAGCGAAGGAGCGCCAACAACAAGGCAAAUACAAGUAGUCGAUCUCUUCUCCUCAUGGCACAUGUCAAACAGAGCGACACAAGGAGGACCGUGGCCAUCAAUUUCCUGGUCAUUGCUAUGAUGUUUGCUUCCACUUUGCCACCCUGCCAUGCACUCAAGAGUAAGUUGUUUGCAUAUCCAAGAUAAUUAACCUACCAAAAACUUGUCUGAUUGAGUAGCUAACGCUAUGAUGGUAUAUCGCCUGUAGUUGUGGGCGAGAAAUGUGUGUAUUUGCAACGGUGCACCACAACUGACUGCAAGGAUGAAUGCAUGCGACUAAUCGGGCACAAACGUGGCUGGGUCGGGACUUGCAGAGAGGUUAAUAGCUGUUGCUGCAGAAAAUACGGGAAAGCACCAUUUUGAUCGUGGCUCCAUGAUGUAAGAUGAAUCCCAGUCGUGCUUGUGCGAAUUGUAAUCCCCGCGAAUAAGAUCAUCGCAUGUAAUGUAUCUAUCUGUUUCAUCAAAAUGGAAUAAACAUUUGGGAUGUGAUUAGGUGCAAAUCUGCCGGUUGUCUUUCUUGUAUACCCAAUUUAUCAUUCCUACUCCACAGUUUUAGAUUAUGAAUGAAUAGCCACACCAUUACUACUAUAGAUUUCAUUGGAUGUUG
rnacentral:lncRNA from 1 species